GGCAUCAAAUUUAUUCCAAAAUUUCCAUUAAAUAGAAAGUAACGGCGGUGCUUUUACACAGAACUCAGCUCAGUAUAAGUACUGGGGUCUUCUCCCUCCAGAUCUUAAGAACUAUGCAAAUCUGUGCUAUCUUUAAAAAUAAAAUAACGAUAUUUCAAUAAUUAGAAGAAACUAUGAAGGUAUUGUGCAUUUCUGUUUUAUGUAGAUAAUAAAAUAUUACUUUAACAUAAAUAUAUAAGGAUCUCUGCGUUUUUAUUUUUCCCCACAAGCACAUCCAAAUGUACCAAAACAAAGUAUUUUUAAAGAGACUGAACAAAAAAAAAAAUUACAUCCCAUAUAGAUUUUGUUCACCUACUCAUUUAAAGCUACAGAAAAACAGUUUCCAGAAUCUGUUUGCUUUAAAAGAAAUAAAUAUACAUUGAGGCAGGCCACUUAAAAAUGAUAUGAAAAUAUUUCCCUGGGUAGCAUUAAAAAAAAAAAAAAAAGAAAAAUAGACAAAGAAAACAUUGAAACUAUUUCUGCAUUUCAAAGGACAAAUAUUAAACAUAUAUACAUAGUGGUAAGGUUUGCGUGGUAACUUUUUUUUUAGUAAACCUAUUUGGAGUUUGAGGUUUUCUCAAACAUCCUCUCAACUCCGUUGUCUGACCUUACACACAUAUUAAUAAGUGUCUGAAAGUUCAUUUCCUCCCUUUACCACUGGAUCUGCCCUGAUCUGAUUCACUUCACUAGGCGCUAGUCCUCAACACUUUAAAUAACAAGCAGCUCAACACAUAAACAAACAAACAAAAAAUUUUUAAAAACCAAACAAAAUUAAAAAAAAAAAAAAGAAAGAAAAGAGAAAAGCUUGGUGCCCGUAUCUUUUUAACAAUUGUUGGAAAACCAGGAAAAAGGCUAAUGCAUGUGCCUCUUAGAAAUCAUCAUCUGUCUUACCAAGAAGAAAGAAAGAAAGCAAGCAAGAAAGAAAGGGAGAAAGAAAGAAGGAAAGAAAACCCAGUGUCACAGGCAUUUUAAAAGACAAUGAGAAACAUAUUCUAAAGCCUUAGCUACUGAAUGCAAUAUUUAUAGGAGAGUUCUGCGAGAGAAUGCUUCACUGUUUUUUCUCCAUAAUUGUCCAACACUCAACUAAGUAAACUUUUAGAUUAUAAAAAUGCUUUGUCUCUAUAGCACCCGUUUGUGCUGACUAAAUGAUCCCUUUAUGAAUUUAUAACUAUCAUAAAGUUCCUCUAAUGUAUAUGCAUAGCUGUGUGUGUGCAUAAGUAUACAAACACGCACGCAGACACACGCACAUACAUGCGCUGCUCCGAGGUCCCGCUCCUCUGCUUCCCUUCAGAGCUUUUUGUUUUCCUUUUUUUUUCCAUUUUUUUUCCUUUUUGUCCCCGUGGGUUUUUCUCUUUUUUUUUUAUUUUGGAAAGUUAACCAUUUCUCAUCAAGAUAAUGUCACGAAAUGCACUUUAAAACUAUUAGCGAAAGGGGGGGGGGGUGGGAAACACGGAUUGAAAAAUGGCAUUUUUUCCCCCACUUCAUUUCAUUCCCCAGUGAAAGACACAAGGCUGCCCAAGUUAAAACUGGUCCUUUCCUUCAAUAAAUUAUACCACAAUCUGACCAAAGGACAAGGGGAGGAUGGGAAGGGAGAGGGGCUGGAUACAAAUAGAAAAUAAAAUAAAUAUGGAAAGUAAAGAGAAAAAGAAAUGCACACAGUCUCUGUGGAGAGGAGGGGGCAGCGUGUGUUUACAGGCAGGUGUAAGCACCCGACCCCCACCUCGGGCCCAGCAGCUCCUCAGACUCUCCCUGGCUCUGCCUUGAAGUAAAAUUGCUCAAUAAAAGAAAGUUUAGAGGCUGAUAUCGGCCCGGGAGGCGAGACUGGGGAUGCCAAAGGCACGCAGGGGAGCCGCGGUGGGAGGAGGAGGGGAAGGAAAGGGCGCUGAGGGGGCGGUGGUGGGGAAGCUAAAUAAUUCCCUUUCCCCUUCAAGGAAAUGCCACUUUCUCUGGGAAAACUCUGGAAACAUACUGUUCCCUCUCCGCCUUCCCCACACCAGGCCUUGCUUGCCAGCACUGACACGGUCUGGAAGGGUUGCACAUAUUUUUUUCCUCCCCCUUUGGUUGCGCCUCGACCCCUGGACACACUGCCUGAAAAUGAAGUUUACUUUGUUGAUUUGCAUUAUUCUCCCUUCUCCAAACUCGACUCUUGCCAUUGAAGGCAUGUAUUAAACAAUUACGAGAGUCACAUCUCUGAAGAAUGGAAGCUGGAGAUGCAUAUAUAUGUGUAUAUAUAGAGAUUAUAUAUAUAUGUGUAUAUAUGUAUGUCUAUGCACGCGUGCAUAUGUAUACAUACACACACAUAUACUAUUUUUUUU
rnacentral:lncRNA from 1 species